rnacentral:rRNA from 1 species
UACAGAGGUGGCAAGCGUUGUUCGGAAUUACUGGGCGUAAAGGGCGCGUAGGCGGUCCCGUCAGUCCCUUGUGAAAUCCCCCGGCUCAACUGGGGAACUGCAAGGGAUACAGCGGGGCUUGAGUUCGGGAGAGGGAAGCGGAAUUCCGGGUGUAGCGGUGAAAUGCGUAGAUAUCAGGAGGAACACCAAUAGCGAAGGCAGCUCGCUGGGACGGUACUGACGCUAAGGCGCGAAAGCGUGGGGAGCGAACAGG